rnacentral:rRNA from 1 species
AAUAGAUACCCGGGUAGUCCACGCCGUAAACGAUGAGUGCUAAGUGUUAGAGGGUUUCCGCCCUUUAGUGCUGAAGUUAACGCAUUAAGCACUCCGCCUGGGGAGUACGGCCGCAAGGCUGAAACUCAAAGGAAUUGACGGGGGCCCGCACAAGCGGUGGAGCAUGUGGUUUAAUUCGAAGCAACGCGAAGAACCUUACCAGGUCUUGACAUCCUCUGACAACUCUAGAGAUAGAGCGUUCCCCUUCGGGGGACAGAGUGACAGGUGGUGCAUGGUUGUCGUCAGCUCGUGUCGUGAGAUGUUGGGUUAAGUCCCGCAACGAGCGCAACCCUUGAUCUUAGUUGCCAGCAUUUAGUUGGGCACUCUAAGGUGACUGCCGGUGACAAACCGGAGGAAGGUGGGGAUGACGUCAAAUCAUCAUGCCCCUUAUGACCUGGGCUACACACGUGCUACAAUGGAUGGUACAAAGGGCUGCAAGACCGCGAGGUCAAGCCAAUCCCAUAAAACCAUUCUCAGUUCGGAUUGUAGGCUGCAAC